GUAAAGAGCUCGUAGGUGGUUUGUCGCGUUGUUCGUGAAAUCUCACGGCUUAACUGUGAGCGUGCGGGCGAUACGGGCAGACUUGAGUACUGCAGGGGAGACUGGAAUUCCUGGUGUAGCGGUGGAAUGCGCAGAUAUCAGGAGGAACACCGGUGGCGAAGGCGGGUCUCUGGGCAGUAACUGACGCUGAGGAGCGAAAGCGUGGGGAGCGAACAGGAUUAGAUACCCUGGUAGUCCACGCCGUAAACGGUGGGUACUAGGUGUGGGUUUCCUUCCUUGGGAUCCGUGCCGUAGCUAACGCAUUAAGUACCCCGCCUGGGGAGUACGGCCGCAAGGCUAAAACUCAAAGAAAUUGACGGGGGCCCGCACAAGCGGCGGAGCAUGUGGAUUAAUUCGAUGCAACGCGAAGAACCUUACCUGGGUUUGACAUGCACAGGACGCCGGCAGAGAUGUCGGUUCCCUUGUGGCCUGUGUGCAGGUGGUGCAUGGCUGUCGUCAGCUCGUGUCGUGAGAUGUUGGGUUAAGUCCCGCAACGAGCGCAACCCUUGUCUCAUGUUGCCAGCGGGUAAUGCCGGGGACUCGUGAGAGACUGCCGGGGUCAACUCGGAGGAAGGUGGGGAUGACGUCAAGUCAUCAUGCCCCUUAUGUCCAGGGCUUCACACAUGCUACAAUGGCCGGUACAAAGGGCUGCGAUGCCGCGAGGUUAAGCGAAUCCUUUUAAAGCCGGUCUCAGUUCGGAUCGGGGUCUGCAACUCGACCCCGUGAAGUCGGAGUCGCUAGUAAUCGCAGA
rnacentral:rRNA from 1 species